rnacentral:rRNA from 1 species
UGGAUCCAGACUUUGAUCAUGGCUCAGGAUGAACGCUAGCUACAGGCUUAACACAUGCAAGUCGAGGGGAAACGAUAGAGAAAGCUUGCUUUUUCUAGGCGUCGACCGGCGCACGGGUGAGUAACGCGCAUCCAACCUGCCCACCACUUGGGAAUAACCUUGCGGAAGUAAGACUAAUACCCAAUGAUAUCUCUAGAAGACAUCUGAAGGAGAUUAAAGAUUUAUCGGUGAUGGAUGGGGAUGCGUCUGAUUAGCUUGUUGGCGGGGUAACGGCCCACCAAGGCGACGAUCAGUAGGGGUUCUGAGAGGAAGGUCCCCCACAUUGGAACUGAGACACGGUCCAAACUCCUACGGGAGGCAGCAGUGAGGAAUAUUGGUCAAUGGGCGAGAGCCUGAACCAGCCAAGUAGCGUGCAGGAUGACGGCCCUAUGGGUUGUAAACUGCUUUUAUAAGGGAAUAAAGUGAGCCUCGUGAGGCUUUUUGCAUGUACCUUAUGAAUAAGGACCGGCUAAUUCCGUGCCAGCAGCCGCGGUAAUACGGAAGGUCCGGGCGUUAUCCGGAUUUAUUGGGUUUAAAGGGAGCGUAGGCCGGAGAUUAAGCGUGUUGUGAAAUGUAGAUGCUCAACAUCUGCACUGCAGCGCGAACUGGUUUCCUUGAGUACGCACAAAGUGGGCGGAAUUCGUGGUGUAGCGGUGAAAUGCUUAGAUAUCACGAAGAACUCCGAUUGCGAAGGCAGCUCACUGGAGCGCAACUGACGCUGAAGCUCGAAAGUGCGGGUAUCGAACAGGAUUAGAUACCCUGGUAGUCCGCACGGUAAACGAUGGAUGCCCGCUGUUGGUCUGAAUAGGUCAGCGGCCAAGCGAAAGCAUUAAGCAUCCCACCUGGGGAGUACGCCGGCAACGGUGCAACUCAAAUGAAUUGACGGA